GGAGCAAGCGUUACUCGGAAUCACUGGGCGUAAAGGACGCGUAGGCGGGUUGGUAAGUCAGGUGUGAAAUCCUACAGCUCAAGCUGUAGAACUGCAUUUGAAACUACUAACCUAGAGUAUGGAAGGGGCAGAUGGAAUUAGUGGUGUAGGGGUAAAAUCCGUAGAUAUCACUAGGAAUACCGAAAGCGAAAGCGAUCUGCUGGGACAUUACUGACGCUGAGGCGUGAAAGCGUGGGGAGCAAACAGGAUUAGAUACCCUGGUAGUCCACGCCCUAAACGAUGAAUGCUAGUCGUCGGGGAGCUCGUCUCUUCGGUGAUGCAGUUAACACAUUAAGCAUUCCGCCUGGGGAGUACGGUCGCAAGAUUAAAACUCAAAGGAAUAGACGGGGACCCGCACAAGUGGUGGAGCAUGUGGUUUAAUUCGAAGAUACGCGAAGAACCUUACCUGGCCUUGACAUCCCAAAAACUUUCCAGAGAUGGAUUGGUGCUAGCUUGCUAGAAUUUGGUGACAGGUGCUGCACGGCUGUCGUCAGCUCGUGUCGUGAGAUGUUGGGUUAAGUCCCGCAACGAGCGCAACCCUCGUCCUUAGUUGCUAACAGUUAGGCUGAGCACUCUAAGGAGACUGCCUUCGCAAGGAGGAGGAAGGUGAGGACGACGUCAAGUCAUCAUGGCCCUUACGGCCAGGGCUACACACGUGCUACAAUGGGGCGUACAGAGAGUUGCGAUACCGCGAGGUGGAGCCAAUCUCACAAAGCGUCUCUCAGUUCGGAUUGUUCUCUGCAACUCGAGAACAUGAAGCUGGAAUCACUAGUAAUCGUAGAUCAGCAAUGCUACGGUGAAUACGUUCCCGGGUCUUGCACACACCGCCCGUC
rnacentral:rRNA from 1 species